rnacentral:rRNA from 1 species
AUUGAACGCUGGCGGCAGGCCUAACACAUGCAAGUCGAACGAGUGGCGGACGGGUGAGUAAUGUCUGGGAAACUGCCUGCUGGAGGGGGAUAACUACUGGAAACGGUAGCUUAUACCGCAUCCCAUCGGAUGUCCCCAGAUGGGAUUAGCUAGUAGGUGGGGUAACGGCUCACCUAGGCGACGAUCCCUAGCUGGUCUGAGAGGAUGACAAGCAAAACUGGAACUGAGACACGGUCCAGAGUCCUACGUGAGGCAGCAGUGGGGAAUAUUGCAAAAAGGGAGAAAGCCUGAUGUAGCCAUGCCGAGUGUAUGAAGAAGGCCUUCGGGUUGUAAAGUACUUUCAGCGGGGAGGCGUUACCCGCAGAAGAAGCACAGGCUAACUCCGUGCCAGCAGCCGCGGUAAUAC